UUUUUGUUCGAAAAACACAUUUACUAAAAUCGUAACGACACAGGCAAAAUUAGCAUGGACCCUGUGCAAGAAUGACAGGCAAAUUUGUGAAGAUUUCUUCUUUUUA
rnacentral:snRNA from 1 species